GGGGUUGAGCUCAGUGGUAGAGCUCUUGCCUAGCACGCAUGAGGCACUGGGUUCCAUCCCUAGCAUCACA
rnacentral:tRNA from 1 species